GCAGGAAGAGGCCCCAGCAGAGGAGGCAGUGGAAAAACCCGCCGAAGCUCGGCUGCAAGCAGCCUGCAGAGAACCGUGGAUCCCCGCAGGCGCAGGUGAAACAGACAAUGACAACGCGGGACACUUCUGAGAAGCCAGUGACAGCGUGAUGCCGGGGCUGCAGGCAGUCACAGAACUUUGCCCUCCACUGUUCCCAAUCUCCCCCUCCGUGGCCAGUCUCUGGGGGGCAGCCCGUUGGGCUGUGCUGGGGGGAAGCCGAGGCAUUCUGGGGUGCCCAGUGGGGGUGCUUUCUCUCCCCCGUGCCCCCCGUGCCAUCAUCCUGCCUGGGGGCCCCACGCAGGGACUAGCCCGCGCCGACUCAGUGCCCGCUGCAUCCCUCCUGGUCUCCUGCCUCCUCAGCCCGGGAGUCCCUGCCUCUGGACCCCCCAUCCCAGGCCGUGACUGUCCCCUCACAAGGUCCACUCGCCCUCAGGCCUCAUCUGGGGUCCCUCAACAAGGCAAAUCAGCCACCCACUGGUCCUGGCCAUGGGGGCUGUGAGCCCACUGUUGGUGAGGGUCCUGGGAUGGACAGAACGUGGAGCCCCCUGCGCUAGGCGGAACAGACAAGUGGCCGUUGGGCUCAGCGCAGCGAUCCACGCACCCACGGAACCCGUCCCAGCUCCCAAUCAGCAUCGACUACGGGCCCAGCCUCUCCAGCAUCCCCCCUCCUAACCCAGCAGUUACAUCUGCAAAACCCUAUUUCCGAAUGAGGUCGCGGUCUGUGAGCCCAGCGCCAAGGACUUCAACACGUGGAGUUGGGGGACACGAUUUAACCCCUGCCAAGCCCCCUCCUGUCCUGGCCCCCACCUCGUGCACAUUCCCACUGCUCCCACCCACCCCAGUUAUCCUCGAAGGACCACGGGCUGUGCCCUUGGCCUCCCACGAAGGGUCUCUGGUUCCAUCUGGCCCCCUCAGGGUCCCUUUGGAGUCUGGCACAGACCUGGAUGCCCAGAGGGCAUCAGAUGUAUGUCAGAUGUGGAAUGGAAUGUUUGGGGCGGCA
rnacentral:lncRNA from 9 species